rnacentral:rRNA from 1 species
UACGGGGGGGGCAAGCGUUGUUCGGAAUUACUGGGCGUAAAGGGCGCGUAGGCGGCCGAGCAAGUUAGAUGUGAAAGUCCUGGGCUUAACCUGGGGACUGCAUUUGAUACUGCUUGGCUUGAAUUCGGGAGAGGAUAGCGGAAUUCCCAGUGUAGAGGUGAAAUUCGUAGAUAUUGGGAAGAACACCGGUGGCGAAGGCGGCUAUCUGGACCGACAUUGACGCUGAGGCGCGAAAGCGUGGGGAGCAAACAGG